AUUGAACGCUGGCGGCAUGCCUUACACAUGCAAGUCGAACGGCAGCACGGGAGCAACCCUGGUGGCGAGUGGCGAACGGGUGAGUAAAGUAUCGGAACGUGCCCAGUCGUGGGGGAUAACGUAGCGAAAGUUACGCUAAUACCGCAUACGAUCUAUGGAUGAAAGCGGGGGAUCGCAAGACCUCGCGCGAUUGGAGCGGCCGAUAUCAGAUUAGGUAGUUGGUGGGGUAAAGGCUCACCAAGCCGACGAUCUGUAGCUGGUCUGAGAGGACGACCAGCCACACUGGGACGGGGACACGGCCCAGACGCCUACGGGAGGCAGCAGUGGGGAAUUUUGGACAAUGGGCGAAAGCCUGAUCCAGCCAUGCCGCGUGCAGGAUGAAGGCCUUCGGGUUGUAAACUGCUUUUGUACGGAACGAAAAGGUUUGGCCUAAUAAGCUGAGCUCAUGACGGUACCGUAAGAAUAAGCACCGGCUAACUACGUGCCAGCCGCCGCGGUAA
rnacentral:rRNA from 1 species